UUAGCAGAAUAAAUUGAUGAAAUUAGACUUUUCACUAAUGCCUGACUAUCACUGAACAGUGAAAGACAUCUGCAACAUGGCCAAAAUCUUGGGUAUACUUUAUAUUUUUUUUUAUUAAUUUGCAACCAUGGUGAUAUCUAUCAUAAACAUGAAAAUCCCCAUUUUGACGUGAAGGAUAAACUCAAUGAAAAAGCUAAAUUAUCCUCUGGUUUCACAGUUGCGCAGAAAUUUCGUUUGUCUUUACAUUUUUUCCAACCUCGAUUGUUUUUUUAUUUAUUUUACCUUUUGUAGGUAAGGGAUUCAUUUGCAAUUAUGACCUGUACAAAUGUUUAAGAAAGUGUUAAAGUCCCUGUAAAGGCAAUUAAAAAAAAAUCUAAACACAUUAUAAUUGUUAAAUGUAUUGCUAAAACACAUUACAAAGACUGUGGGAGUACUGAAUAGCCUACGUGCACAAUCGUAGUGACGAACUUCCGCUGUCGCCAGAAGUCGGCAUAUCUUUUUACGGUUUACUUGCGCGUGGCACAAAAUGUUUUCGAUGUCUCCAGGAUCUUCCGAAAAUUUGCGUCAGCGAUGUUCAUCGCAUUGUUGAUGCCUGGUCCCCUGCUCCGACAAGCAAGAGGGACAAGGGCUUUAAACUCUACAUAUCGAGUUAUCUGCACAACUACAAGGGUAAGUAUUUUAAUCUAAUGUGGUGUGCCGGCAGAUAGCGACUAAGCUAGUUCGCCACGUGUUCAUUUUUAAUGUAACGUUAGUAUAGAAGCUUGUUUUUUCUUAGUUUUAAAGCAGACUGUUUGUUAAUUUUUGUGAUAAUUGUAAUAUCAACUGUAUUAACUUGCUCUCCUCUCAGUUUCUAAUAAAGAUCAGGGCACAGGUGAAGUCACUGUUAGGGCAUUGUGCUACAGGUCCAUGAGAAAAGCAGAGUAUGGUGAAGCUAGAAUUGAUAAGACCGCAGUUAUAGGCUUGUUACUUUAAUAGCCCGAUGUUCCUGGGGACUCGGCUAAGGUUAUUCAUGUUUAAUGUAACUCAAAUAAAAUGAAAACAGUUAUUGUAGGCAGGUAAUUUUCCCUAGCUGGUCCCCUCCGUGUAAAAUGCGUUCUUAUUCAAGUUUUCAACUCAGUCAUUCGUUUAAGAUGCAAUCUUGUGUUAUAAGUAUUAGGCUAUCAUGAUUAUACAGUGAACAAGCUAUAUAAAUAAGUAUUUAAUAUAAUAAAAGUGUAGAGAAACAACCGAGGCUGAAUAUUGUAGAUUUAUUACAAUAUGUUGCAUGUUUGAAUUAAAAUACCUGUGGAUAUGCAACUUCCCACUCAUGAAAGUUUUAUGUUAUUCAAAGGAGCACACUCUCUACAAAGGCCUGACUGGAGAUUUGCCUGAUCUAUCCGUCCUUCAGGUGACAGCGGCUCACUUGUAGAGCAGGUGAAGCAAGUUGGGACAAUGUUGAAGACGUUUGCUCUGGGCAAUCAGGUGCAGAUCAGACCCUAAUGCUGCGACGUCUUGGAGAGUUUGGCGAUGUUGUGCGUAGCAUGGACAACAAAAUGGACGCUAUGCUGCAACAUUUCAGUGCCAAUGUGUCUGUUGGAGAGUUAUCCCUGACAGGGGAUCUGUUACUCCCCCCUAGACACCCAGGAAGAUUUGGCGUUGCUUGACAACAGUUUCAGGCAGGAUAAAGAGCUCCAGCAACGAUUUCUUCGGUUUUUGGCAAUCAAAUGUGGGAAGGACCUAAAGACAACCGUGUGGCGAAUGCUUCAGAGUAUCUUCUCUAAUCACCUUUUCAUCAAUACAACCUGGACUGGUGUAGGGGAUAAAGCAUGUUUUAGAGACAUGUUCCUGAAGACCAUUGUUCAAAGAGCCAUCUGGAAGAACCCGGCAACCCAGGAUGCCACUGAUGAGGCGAUCCAGGUUAACGUUACGCGUUACCUGAAAGGAGCAUCUGAACGUGAAGGUGUAAAAAGGUGCCGCACAGCUUAGAGGGACCCACAGCCGACCCCUUAAACCUAGGCUGACUACUGACACCCCAGCAUCACUGACAACUGGAACCCUUUCUUUAUCCUGCAGUCAGUAACAUCAAGACCCCUAAAAAAGCCUGC